rnacentral:rRNA from 1 species
CUGCAGUCUGCAACUCGACUGCACGAAGUCGGAAUUGCUAGUAAUCGCGGAUCAGCAUGCCGCGGUGAAUACGUUCCCGGGCCUUGUACACACCGCCCGUCACACCAUGAGAGUCGGGAACACCCGAAGUCGGUAGUCUAACCUCGUGAGGACGCCGCCGAAGGUGGGCUUGAUAAUUGGGGUGAAGUCGUAACAAGGUAAC